AUUGAACGCUGGCGGCAGGCCUAACACAUGCAAGUCGAACGAGUGGCGGACGGGUGAGUAAUGUCUGGGAAACUGCCUGAUGGAGGGGGAUAACUACUGGAAACGGUAGCUAAUACCGCAUACCAUCGGAUGUGCCCAGAUGGGAUUAGCUAGUAGGUGGGGUAACGGCUCACCUAGGCGACGAUCCCUAGCUGGUCUGAGAGGAUGACCAGCAACACUGGAAAUGAGACACGGUCCAGACUCUUACGGGAGGCAGCAGUGGGGAAUAUUGCACAAUGGGCGCAAGACUGAUGCAGCCAUGCCGCGUGUAUGAAGAAGGCCUUCGGGUUGUAAAGUACUUUCAGCGGGGAGGCUUUACCCGUAGAUGAGGCACCGGCUAACUCCGUUACAGCAGCCGCGGUAAUUC
rnacentral:rRNA from 1 species